AUAAAAGCAGGGGUCUAUUGCCUCUGUGAAUAUUGGCCUCUCGUAAGCAUCAGGGAGAUCAUUCUGCUUUGUUAUUGGGUGAACCUUUGUCAUGUUCUUUGUGGGCUGUGGCUCAAGGUUCAGUAAAUGAUGCAACAUUU
rfam:Morus notabilis contig43660, whole genome shotgun sequence.